UACGGAGGGUGCAAGCGUUGUUCGGAAUUACUGGGCGUAAAGGGCGCGUAGGCGGUGUAGUAAGUCGGUUGUGAAAGCCCUGGGCUCAACCCAGGAAGUGCGUUCGAAACUGCUACACUCGAGUAUGGGAGAGGAGAGUGGAAUUCCCAGUGUAGAGGUGAAAUUCGUAGAUAUUGGGAGGAACACCCGUGGCGAAGGCGACUCUCUGGACCAAUACUGACGCUGAGGCGCGAAAGCGUGGGGAGCAAACAGG
rnacentral:rRNA from 1 species